CCGGAGCCGCCUCCGCCGCGCUCCUGGGCCCUCGGAGCCAGUCCGCGGGUCAAGCCGCUACGAUGUGGGCCGUGUUGUCGCUGCUCUGCGCGGGCGCGGGGCUCCUGGGACCCCCGGCCUGCGGCGCCGCCGACCUCUACGUGAGCUCCUUAGAGAAAGUUCACUUUAAGUCAUGGAUGGUCCAGCACCAAAAGAGAUACAGCUCAGAGGAGUACCAGCGCAGGCUGCAGACCUUUGUCGGCAACUGGAGGAGGAUAAGCGCCCACAACGCUGGGAACCACACCUUUAAAAUGGGACUGAACCAGUUUUCGGACAUGAGCUUUGCCGAAAUAAAACACAAGUAUCUUUGGUCGGAGCCUCAGAACUGCUCAGCCACCAGAGGUAACUACCUGCGGGGCACUGGUCCCUACCCACCGUUUGUGGACUGGCGCACAAGGGGGAAGUAUGUCUCGCCAGUGAAAAAUCAGGGCGGCUGUGGCAGUUGCUGGACCUUCUCCACCACGGGGGCCCUGGAGUCUGCCAUCGCCAUCAAAACCGGGAAACUGCUGUCUUUGGCGGAACAGCAGCUGGUCGACUGUGCCCAGAACUUCAAUAAUCAUGGCUGCCAAGGGGGCCUCCCCAGCCAGGCGUUCGAGUACAUCCGGUACAACAAAGGCAUCAUGGGUGAAGACACCUAUCCCUACAAGGGCCAGGACGGGGACUGCAAAUUCCAGCCCAGCAAGGCCAUUGCCUUCGUGAAGGACGUAGCCAACAUCACAAUCAAUGACGAGGAGGCGAUGGUGGAGGCGGUGGCCCUGUACAACCCCGUGAGCUUUGCCUUCGAGGUCACCGACGACUUCAUGAUGUACAGAAAGGGCGUCUACUCCAGCACUUCCUGUCAUAAAACUCCAGAUAAAGUAAACCACGCGGUACUGGCUGUUGGGUAUGGAGAAAAAGAUGGGGUUCCCUACUGGAUCGUGAAAAACUCUUGGGGUCCCCAGUGGGGGAUGAAAGGGGAAACAAGGCCGACAUGUGCUAAGAUUUUAUGAAUGAGUGAAGGGAAUGCACGUCAACACUGGAAGGUGCACCAGCCAAGAACAAACAGAUGUACCACCCAGAGUCUCCAGAAGGAGAAUUCGACCUAGAAUAAAUAAUCACGAAGUGUGUACGGAACCACAAAAGACCUCAAAAUAACCAAAGCAGUCCCAAGAAAGAACGAGACGAGAGGUGUCACCAGCCCGGACUCCAAGGUGGACCAAGCUGUAGCGGUCAAGACAGUAUGGUUCCGGCACAAAAAGACACGUAGAUCAGCAGAACCGAACAGGGCGCCGGCCCAGAAAUAAACCCACAUUCAUAGUCAAUUACUCUAUGACACAGCAGGAAGGAACAUCCAGUGGGGAACAGUCUCUUCAAGAAAUGGUGCUGGGAAAACUGGACAGCCACAUGCAAAAAACAAGCAAAACAAGAUCACUUUCUUACACAAAAAUAGAUUCAAGACGGACUGAAGACCUACACGGGAGUCCUGAAACCAUAAAAAUCCUAAGAGAACACUGGCGGUCGUCUCUUGGACGUCGGCCUUAGCGACAUAUUUGUAAGUACGUCUCCUCGGGCGAGAGAAUAAAAGCAAAAAUAAAUUGCUGGGACUGCAUCAAAGUAAACGGCUUUUGCGCAGGGAGGGGAGCCAUGAAUAAAACGAAAAGGCAACCUACAAGUAGAAGGUUUUUACAAAUGACUUACCAGAGGUUAAUAUCCAGAAUCUAUUCAGAACUCGUACAACUCAACACCAAAAACGCGAUACGUUUAAAAACCGGGCAGAAGAGCCGAAUACACAUUUCUCCAAAGACAUCCAGAUGCCAACAGACACGUGAAAAGGCGCUCGACGUCGCUCGUCAUCAGGGAAGCGCAAAUCAGAACCACGAGAUACCACCUCACACCUGUCAGGACGGCUAAAACCAACACCACAAGAAGUAAGCGUUGG